UACAGAGGUCUCAAGCGUUGUUCGGAUUCAUUGGGCGUAAAGGGUGCGUAGGCGGCGCGGUAAGUCGGGUGUGAAAUCUUGGAGCUUAACUCCGAAACUGCAUUCGAUACUGCCUUGCUCGAGGACUCGAGAGGAGAUUGGAAUUCACGGUGUAGCAGUGAAAUGCGUAGAUAUCGUGAGGAAGACCAGUGGCGAAGGCGGAUCUCUGGAGAGUUCCUGACGCUGAGGCACGAAGGCCAGGGGAGCAAACGGG
rnacentral:rRNA from 1 species